rnacentral:lncRNA from 1 species
CGGAGCCCUCGGCUUCCCCGCCGGCCAGGCCAGGCGCAGAGGCAGCCGCCCGGCGCGGAGGGCGGACGACGCGACGGGACGGGACGGGCCCCGCGCUGCAGCAGGAUGAGGCCGCGGCGGGGCGCGGGGCUGGCGCUGGCCGCGCUGCUGCUGCUGCUGAGCCGGGAGCCGGCCGGGGUGUCCGCCGCGGGAUGUAGUGGCUGUGGAAAAUGUGACUGCAGUGGAGUAAAAGGGCAAAAAGGUGAAAGAGGUUUGCCUGGACUUCAAGGUCUGAUAGGGUUUCCUGGAAUGCAAGGACCUGAAGGUCCUGCUGGGCCGCCAGGUUUUAAGGUAAGUUGUAUUUAAUAUUUUUGUGUAUGUCAACACUGCACAGGUCAGUCCC